GUUAUGACAAAGAGUUCAACAUCAUCACAUUGUUUCUAUUUCUUGUUAAAUGAAGAUAUGAACGAGUUCUUUAGGUGGUCAAUAUCUAAAUUUGUUUUACUGUCUGGAUAGGUUCAGUAGAGGGUCUGGCAGGUUCUGCCAUUCAUUGAGAGGAUGACUAAUCUGUGACCUAAUUCCAAAUUUUAGCCCUUGUCCUAUGUCCCUGAAUAAUUGAACCAAAUAAAGAUCUCUUAGUAUUGUCCCCAAUCAGCCCUUAAAUGUAAAUUAACAUUGAACUCAAGAAUAAUUUCUUUGUUCAGAUAGUGGGGAGAAUAUGGAACUUCCUAGUUCAGACGCUAUUCUGACCUUGCAUUUGUUAUGGCUUUCAUGAUGUUUCAAUUAAACGGCAGAACACAGGCAGUGAUCUGCACAUUGGCUUGCAUGAAGUCUAAGAGAGAUAUCUUAACACUCCAAAGACCAUUGGGCAAAAUAGUCGUCAUUUUUGUUAUGCAUAGUACAUAAAAUAAUCCUUCCAGUUCUAAUGUUUAAAUUCAGUGACACUUAGUUUUUACUUCAUGCAGUGAGUGUAAAUUGAUUUGAGAGUUUUCAGCUUGGCUUAGCCUGUAGUUUGGCAGUUUCUCAAAAUGGCUCAAAGAUCUGCAGGAAGAAAUUCAAUUAAAUUUAACUUGGGCGCUGUUGGUAAUGGAGUGGAAUAAUAAGGCUAACCAGGCAGUUCCCCAUUCUACAGACAUGCCAAAUUUAUCAGAUCAAUCUGAGUUCUGUGGGGCACUGAUUCGUAACUACAUUGAGAAACUGUACUAGAAUCUUGGAUUAUUUUCUUGCUAAUUCGAAUCCAUACCCUCUAAUCUUCCAUUCUACUUCCAAUAUAAAAAUGUUUCUGACAGUUAUACACACUGAAUCUGUUCUACCCAUCAAUGUCAUGUAUUCUACCAACUUUUUUCACAAACGAUCAUCUCCGCUGAACAAACCCUUUCAUUUAAUGUUGUUCAAUUAAUCAGUUAAUUUUCAUUAAAUGUAAGGAUCAAAUAUUUUCG